UGCCAGCCGCCGCGGUAAUACGGAGGGAGCGAGCGUUAAUCGGAAUUACUGGGCGUAAAGCGCGCGUAGGCGGCUUUGUAAGUCGGAUGUGAAAUCCCCGGGCUUAACCUGGGAACUGCAUUCGAUACUGCAUGGCUAGAGUAUGGUAGAGGGAAGUGGAAUUCCUAGUGUAGAGGUGAAAUUCGUAGAUAUUAGGAGGAACACUCGUGGCGAAGGCGGCCUGCUGGGCCAUUCCUGACGCUGAGGUACGGAAGCAUGGGGAGCAAACAGGAUUAGAUA
rnacentral:rRNA from 1 species